GAUGAACGCUAGCGGCGGGCUUAAUACAUGCAAGUCAAGGGGUAGCAAUACACCGGCGGACGGGUGCGUAACGCGUAUGCAACCUACCUUAAUCUGGGGGAUAACUCGGGGAAACUCGAGCUAAUACCGCAUAAGAAAUUAGAGUGGCAUCACUUAGAUUUUAAAGAUUUAUUGGAUUAAGAUGGGCAUGCGUAAGAUUAGAUAGUUGGGGAGGUAACGGCUCACCAAGUCUACGAUCUUUAGGGGCUCUGAGAGGAGAAUCCCCCACACUGGCACUGAGAUACGGGCCAGACUCCUACGGGAGGCAGCAGUAGGGAAUAUUGGGCAAUGGGCGAAAGCCUGACCCAGCCACGCCGCGUGCAGGAAGACGGCCCUCUGGGUUGUAAACUGCUUUUAACUGGGAAGAAAAGAGGCCUUGCGAGGCAAGUUGACGGUACCAGUUGAAUAAGCCACGGCUAACUACGUGCCAGCCGCCGCAGUAAGAC
rnacentral:rRNA from 1 species